GAUGAACGCUGGCGGCGUGCCUAAUACAUGCAAGUCGAGCGAACGGACGAGAAGCUUGCUUUUCUGAUGUUAGCGGCGGACGGGUGAGUAACACGUGUAUAACCUACCUAUAAGACUGGGAUAACUUCGGGAAACCGGAGCUAAUACCGGAUAAUAUUUUGAACCGCAUGGUUCAAAAGUGAAAGACGGUCUUGCUGUCACUUAUAGAUGGAUCCGCGCUGCAUUAGCUAGUUGGUAAGGUAACGGCUUACCAAGGCAACGAUGCAUAGCCGACCUGAGAGGGUGAUCGGCCACACUGGAACUGAGACACGGUCAAGACUACUACGGGAGGCAGCAGUAGCGAAUCUUCCGCAAUGGGCGAAAGCCUGACGGAGCAACGCCGCGUGAGUGAUGAAGGUCUUCGGAUCGUAAAACUCUGUUAUUAGGGAAGAACAUAUGUGUAAGUAACUGUGCACAUCUUGACGGUACCUAAUCAGAAAGCCACGGCUAACUACGUG
rnacentral:rRNA from 1 species